rnacentral:rRNA from 1 species
GACCAGUUACCCGACCUUUUGUCAUUGUGCGUGGGAGGACGGGAGGAGCGAGAAGCGGAACGGGAGCUGCGCGGGGUUGAAACCCGUACGGGCCGUGCCGUGUGAGCUCUGAACGAACGACCGCGAGCCAUAACUUCGGCGGAAGUGGUAGGCCUUGAUCUGCCCGCCGCCGGCCAGAACGCAAACUCUUGUGAGAAUGUGAAGUCUGAGUGUGAAAACAUAACAUAAAAGCAAAACUUUCAACAACGGAUCUCUUGGCUCUGGCAACGAUGAAGAACGCAGCGAAACGCGAAAGGUAAUGCGAAUUGCAGAAUCAGUGAGUCAUUGAAUCUUUGAACGCACAUUGCGCCUCUCGGUAUUCCGGGAGGCACGCCUGUUCGAGCGCCAUUACAAACUCCAAGCAAAGCUUGAUGUUGGGCGAUGUCCGCUGUUGUGGAUGGACAAGCCUGGAACGUGUGGGCUCCGACGGUGGGACCUCAAGCGUAGCAAGACGAAAGUCACCUCGCUUCUGAUGGGAUCCGCCGAUCGGACGUGCCUUUUUUUGGUCGUCGCUCUUCGAUGAGAGAUGACUAGUCUUGAUAGUUUGGCCUCGAAUCAGGCGGGGAUACCCGCUGAACUUAAGCAUAUCAAUAAGCCGGAGGAAAG